AGGAGGAGGGAGGAGGGAGAGGGAGAGGAGAAGAAGGAGGGAGAGGAGACAGUGGAUAGGGGUGAUCUAAGUCCCCAGUGUUCUACUCCUCUGUCAGCUGAUGGGGAGGAGUUUGUGAGUGUCCUGACUGAGUUGCUGUUUGAGCUUCACGUCGCUGCCACCCCAGACAAACUCAACAAGGCCAGGAUGAGAGCGCAUGAUUGGGUGAGAGAGGUGGAGAAACCUGUCGUCGUCACAGAUACCAUCGGGGGGGCGGCGGAGGAGGAGCAAAGAGGGGAACCUGAAACAAGAGAGGGAGAAGAAGAGAAGAAAGAGGGGGAGGAGCUAAAGGAGAAGAAAGAGGGGGAGGAACUGGAGGAGAGGAAAGAGGAGGAGGAGCUAAAGGAGGAGGAGCUAAAGGAGAAGAAAGAGGGGGAGGAGAUAAAGGUGAAUGAGGAAGAGAGACAAUCCAGGUCUGUAGAGGUGAGAUCUGAUGUUGGACAGAGAACUAACUGUCUG